rnacentral:rRNA from 1 species
CGGCGCCACGAGUGGCAAUCGUGUAUUUGGCCUAAAGCGUCCGUAGCCGGAUUUGUAAAUCUUUUGUGAAAUCGUUGAGCUCAACUUAACGGCGUGCAGAAGACACUGCGAGUCUUGAGACCGGGAGGAGAUAGAGGUAUUCUAGGGGGAGCGGUAAAAUGCUAUAAUCCCUGGAGGACCACCAGUGGCGAAGGCGUCUAUCCAGAACGGAUCUGACGGUGAGGGACGAAAGCCAGGGGAGCGAACCGGAUUAGAUACCCGAGUAGUCC